GUCAUGUCCCAAGAGGAACGAGUGGCCAAAGGACACGAGUUACCAAGGGUUGUGAGUUACCAAAGGUUGUGAGUUGGCAAAGGAUGUAAGUAACCAAGGGUUACGAACAUCAAGAGGUACGAGGACCAAGAGGUACAAGGACCAAGAGGUACCAAGGACCGAAGGGGUGCAUGUUCCAAACUGUGCCUGUUGAGACAGGUCGUGUAUGUUCCUUAAGGGAUCAGACCAUGUCUUGUCCGUUGGGACAAGUACACAGUUCGUCAAAGCCAGGGUAAGAGUCGCAAGGUCCGAUCGGUCGUUUGGCCUAACCAGAUUGGGCGUGAGGCUUACUUGGUCGUUGGAUCCAGGCCCAAGGCCGGAUCAGGUAAGGAAGUCCAUUGGGCCAUUGAGUCGGACUUCAACUAGGCCAGUCGCACCUAGAUUCUAUCCGGAUGGACGGAUUGGUCUUUGGGACGAUCCGGACUGUUCGUGUGUUCUGUUUAUCUAUUCUGGACUGUCUAUCUGAUUCUAAGUCAAGGGGUGGUUGGUUGAAUGACUUAGGAUUUGGUAGGCAGGUUCUUAUCUUUUUAUAAUUAUAUUGUCUGAAGUUUAUCUGUGUUCUAGGAACCAAGCCAAGCAUUGUAGAAUCGACCAGUUCUAUUCUCGGUUAUGAUUAAUGCUUAUAUGGUUGUGGUUUCAGGAACUAAGGAUAGUUCUGGUCAAGCCAAGGAGCCGUAAAGGCUCGGUCAGUGAGAGGCUGUGUAACGUGUGGUUAGAUGAUGCUAGGGAUGAGCAAGUGAUUGUCUAUGAAACAAUUAAGAAGUUGUGUAUUGGAUAUCAUGUUUCUAAGUAAUACAUUUAAUACACAUUUAUAUUCCGCUGUGCUAUCUGUUCAAUUGUUUUAGAACCUCAGAUUCGAACUUGACUUAGUAAAGGAAAGACUUAAAAAUGAAUCAAACCAGCAAAGAAAUUGAUUAAGUAGCAACCGCGUCCAGUUUCGUCGAGAUGCCGGAUUCGGGCGUUACAGAGACUGAAUCAGAAUGAAUGAAUUGACCUCUUGUCGUGCAUCCUUUAUAUAGGCAACCAAAGGUCAUGUGCAAAGGGACACAUCCCUUUGAAGCAUCCUUUUGGGACAGAUCUUGGCCAUCGAUUACAAUCAACGGUCCAGAUCGUACCUGUUCGGAAAUGGAAGGUUCCAGACCUUAUAGGCACGUCCAACCUAAGCCCAGGCUUGGUACCCAAGCCCACGGCCUGCCCACAAGAGCCAACGACUCAUGGACCACAUGGCCGGACCUCCUGGCCCGCCACUGACCCGGACCCAAACCAUCGGCCCAAAACCUGACCAGUCCGUCGAGCUGACAUGAGCUUACUUAAGUUGGAAUGAGCAAGGCUGAGGUUGACCGAGCUACGUCUAGCUGAUCGAGCUUCCCGUAUGCAUCGCCCAGCUUCUGUACAGCUUAUCCUAGCUGACUUCUUUCUCUUAUAAGGUUAAGUCUCAGCAUCAUGACGUCCUUAACCAUCUAUCUUGGCCAUGGAACGCUAGCCUUAAGGUCUUAAAACUGGCUGGUUCGUUUCCUCGCACCAUGGCCAUCCCGACGGUCCUUAUCCAGGAUCGCGGAUGUUACAGGUCACCAAGGUGAACAGCCUCUGGUCGAUAGAACAAUGUAGGCAAGGGAAGUUGGAAAAAUGGAUCCGUAACUUCGGGAAAAGGAUUGGCUCUGAGGGCUGGGAUUGGGGGUCCUAGUUCCAAACCCGUUGACUGUUGGCGGGCUGCUUAAGCUGCUAACGUGGCGAGAGCGGACCGCCUCGUGUUAAUCGGGGGAUGGACUAGGAAUGGCUCUUUCGGGAUCUUUCCCCGAGCGUCGAACAGCCAACUCAGAACUGGUACGGACAAGGGAAAUCAGAAUGUUUAAUUAAUACAAAGCAUUGUGAUGGUCCCUACGGAUGCUAAUGCAAUGUGAUUUCUGCCCAGUGCUCUGAAUGUCAAAGUGAAGAAAUUAAACCAAGCGCGGGUAAACGGCGAGAGUAACUAUUACUCUCUUAAGGUAGCCAAAUGCCUCGUAAUCUAAUUAGUGACGCGCAUGAAUGGAUUAACGAGAUUCCCACUGUCCCUGUCUACUAUCCAGCAAAACCACAGCCAAGGGAACGGGCUUGGCAGAAUCAGCAUGGAAAGAAGACCCUGUUGAGCUUGACUCUAGUACGGCUUUGUGAAAUGACUUGAGAGGUGUAGAAUAAGUGGGAGCUCCGGCGCAAGUGAAAUACCACUACUUUUAACGUUAUUUUACUUACUCCGUGAAUCUGAGGCGGGGUAACAACCCCUUCUUUUAGACCCAAGACUCGCUUCGGUGGGUCAAUCCGGGCGGAGGACAUUGUCAGGUGGGGAGUUUGGCUGGGGCGGCACAUCUGUUAAAAGAUAACGCAGGUGUCCUAAGAUGAGCUCAACGACAACAGAAAUCUUGUGUGGAACAAAAGGGUAAAAGCUCGUUUGAUUCUGAUUUUAGUACGAAUACAAACCGUGAAAGCAUGGCCUUUCGAUCCUGGCUUGUGGCAGCCAAGAGGUCAUAGCGACGUUACUUUUUGAUCCUUCGAUGUCGGCUCUUCCUAUCAUUGUGAAGCAGAAUUCACCAAGUGUUGGAUUGUUCACCCACCAAUAGGGAACGUGAGCUGGGUUUAGACCAUCAUGAGACUGGUUAGUUUUACCCUACUGAUGCCUGCGUCACAAUAGUAAUUCAACCUAGUACGAGAGAAACCGUUGAUUCGCACAAUUGGUCAUCGCGCUUGGUUGAAAAGCCAGUGGUGCGAAGUUACCGUGUGCUGGAUUAUCACUGAACGCCUCUAAGUCAGAAUCUGGGCUAGAAACGACGCAUGUGCCUGCCGCCCGAUUGCCGACCCUCAUUAGGAGCUUCGGCUCCCAAAGGAACGUGUCGUUGGCUAAAUCCCUUCGGCGGAAGUGCCAUUCAGACCACCUUGAAUUAUAAUUACCACCGAGCGGCGGGUAGAAUCCUUUGCAGAUGACUUAAAUACGCGACGGGUGUAAGUGGCAGAGUGGCCUUGCUGCCACGAUCCACUGAGAUUCAGCCCUUUGUCACUAAGAUUCGACCCUCCCGCUU
rnacentral:rRNA from 1 species